rnacentral:misc_RNA from 1 species
AGCGGCAACAGCUCAAAUUUGAAAUCUGGCCCUCGGGUCCGAGUUGUAAUUUGUAGAGGAUGCUUUUGGCGAGGUGCCUUCCGAGUUCCCUGGAACGGGACGCCAUAGAGGGUGAGAGCCCCGUCUGGUCGGACACCGAGCCUCUGUAAAGCUCCUUCGACGAGUCGAGUAGUUUGGGAAUGCUGCUCAAAAUGGGAGGUAUAUGUCUUCUAAAGCUAAAUAUUGGCCAGAGACCGAUAGCGCACAAGUAGAGUGAUCGAAAGAUGAAAAGCACUUUGAAAAGAGGGUUAAAAAGUACGUGAAAUUGUUGAAAGGGAAGCGCUUAUGACCAGACUUGCGCCCGGUGAAUCAUCCAGCGUUCUCGCUGGUGCACUUUGCCGGGCACAGGCCAGCAUCAGUUUGGCGCGGGGGAAAAAGGCUUCGGGAAUGUGGCUCCCUCGGGAGUGUUAUAGCCCGCUGCGUAAUACCCUGCGCCGGACUGAGGUACGCGCAUCGCAAGGAUGCUGGCGUAAUGGUCAUCAGCGACCCGUCUUGAAACACGGACCAAGGAGUCGUCUUCGUAUGCGAGUGUUCGGGUGUCAAACCCCUACGCGUAAUGAAAGUGAACGUAGGUGAGAGCUUCGGCGCAUCAUCGACCGAUCCUGAUGUUCUCGGAUGGAUUUGAGUAAGAGCAUACGGGGCCGGACCCGAAAGAA